GCCUUAAUUGAACUAAGGCCUAAUCCUGGUUUAGUCUAAGCCCUGUCUUUGAAACCGGGCCUAGAAGUGUGUAAUUCACAAUACAACGUUUUUUCUCUAAUGUUCAAAGUAAAUUUAACUUUAGAAUUGAACUAAUGAUCUUCGAUGGGAAAUGUUGUAGUUUUUGUGGGGCAUACAGAGGAAACUGACACCGGGACAGCAUCAUUUCACAAACAGAAUCACAAAAAUAUUAAGCAGAACAACAGUGAUAAUAAUAUGAAAUAUUUUUCAACAUUGAUAAUAUUUUUUUCCCAGCGAAUCAGAUGACACAGAAUGACUGAUGCUGAAAAUUCAGCUUUGCCAUUACACUCAAAAAAAUGAUUCUUGCCACUAUUUGAAAUUAAGCAAAAAAAUCUAAUAAAACAUAUUUAAAAACUAAUAAAAAUACCUAUUAUUACUACAAAUUACUUUUAUACAACAUGAAUGAAAUGGAUACAAGACCAACCUGAUCAAAUUACAUAAACUAUACUUAAUUUGUUGCCAUAAGGCGCAAAUGCAAGUGUUGCGCAUGCUCACUGAAGUCUGAGUUCAAAAAACAACAUCUGAAGGCGCAAUGGCGAUCUACUGUCUGACUCAGCGAAAAGGAGGAUUUGGAUGAAUAGAUGUGGAUGUUUUACAAGAAACCUCAUCAGUGGGACAAUAACUCAAUUAUGAUAUGUGAGUUUUGUGGAAACGUAAAGUGUGUGGAAGAAGCAUCACAGAAGUAUCCAGUAUGUUUAAGUAAUUGAAACAUUCUAAGAUUAAAUUUGGACAUUUUGAGGAGAGAUUCAGUCAACCUGUUCACAGUAAAUUAAAUAAAAGCGGAAUUAAUGCGGAUAACGACUGUGCCACUUCUGUCAAUGUUCAUAGCAGCUGGACAUAUACACUGACAAAAGAUAUCACACACAUUGCAGUUGCAGACAAGUGCGAAGAUAUACACUUCAAAUGAGACUGUGUCAUAAAGAGUCUGUGUGUGUAUCUCAAUGGGGACAUUACAACACUUCCAGUUCUCCAGAAU